rnacentral:rRNA from 1 species
UACGUAGGUGGCGAGCGUUGUCCGGAUUUACUGGGCGUAAAGAGCGCGCAGGCGGUCGUACAAGUCGCGUGUGAAAGCCCCCGGCUCAACUGGGGAGGGUCACGCGAUACUGUUCGACUCGAAGGCAGGAGAGGGAAGUGGAAUUCCCGGUGUAGUGGUGAAAUGCGUAGAUAUCGGGAGGAACACCAGUGGCGAAGGCGGCUACCUGGCCCAUUCUUGACGCUGAGGCGCGAAAGCUAGGGGAGCAAACGGG